UGGAGGAUGUGAGAUCAUUGGACUGAGUUCUUAACCACAUUAGGCUUGUUUGGGCGUCACUGCAGAUUUCAUGAGAAAACUUAAAGGCAGUUAGAGAGCAAUCCCAGUGUACUUGGUGCACAGAAGAAUCCUCUACAUUUGCCAAAUUGAAUUUGGCCCUGAAUAUGUCCUGGACUUGUGCUGUGCCAGAACUCUACUAAACUCCCAGUGACCAUUUCUGCAUGGAGGGCUUUUCUUGGAAAGGUUCAUUGACACCUGGGCUGUUUGGGCAGUCUGAAAGUUUUAAAGAAAGUGGGGCAAAGGAAGCUCAUUUUUUUUAUGAGGAAGCAAAGCAUCUGAGCAUCUACAGGAGUGUGAAGCCAUUUACUAACACUGUGAAAGUCCAGGUGGCCAAAACAGGAGCUGCAUUGCCUUGGUGCCCUCUCCAAGGCCAGCCUAAGUACAGCACCACAAAGCAGCACUCCCCUGGUGUGCCCACCCAGCAUUCCCCCUGCUGACGCUCUUGUCCUUGCUCUC